rnacentral:rRNA from 1 species
AAUAGAUACCCGGGUAGUCCACCCCGUAAACGUUGGGAACUAGUUGUGGGGUCCUUUCCACGGAUUCCGUGACGCAGCUAACGCAUUAAGUUCCCCGCCUGGGGAGUACGGCCGCAAGGCUAAAACUCAAAGGAAUUGACGGGGACCCGCACAAGCGGCGGAGCAUGCGGAUUAAUUCGAUGCAACGCGAAGAACCUUACCAAGGCUUGACAUACACCGGAAACGGCCAGAGAUGGUCGCCCCGCAAGGUCGGUGUACAGGUGGUGCAUGGUUGUCGUCAGCUCGUGUCGUGAGAUGUUGGGUUAAGUCCCGCAACGAGCGCAACCCUCGUUCUAUGUUGCCAGCACGUAAUGGUGGAACUCAUGGGAUACUGCCGGGGUCAACUCGGAGAGGUGGGGAUGACGUCAAAUCAUCAUGCCCCUUAUGUCUUGGGCUUCACGCAUGCUACAAUGGCCGGUACAAAGGGCUGCAAUACCGUGAGGUGAGCGAAUCCCAAAAGCGGUCCAGUUCGGAUUGAGGUCUGCAACUCGACCUCAUG